rnacentral:piRNA from 1 species
UCUUCUGGACUGCUGGGACACAUGCA